CUUUUUGCCGCAACCAAAACCUGGGCCAUGUGGUCACCAGGCCAUAAUCCAUAACCUCCUCCUCUAUCAGCUCUAAAUUUAGGAGGCUGACUGACAAGCAAGGUAUGACAGAGUCACUAGACUCAAUCACACCAAACAAAAUCAAUAUCAGCCAAUCUUAAAUUCAAAUUGAACAAUUAAAACAAACUAGAGAUUGCAAACACCAAUUAAUCGUGCAUUUUAAUCAAAGUCAAUGUAUUUAAACAAUUUUUUACUUCUCAAAGUAUGUCUACUAAUAUUCUAAUACCUAUACUAAUAAAUUAAAAAACAACCUAAAAAUAAAAAUCAAUUAAAGAGUGUAAACUUACAAAGUUGGUAAGACCAAAACCUCAGGGUUCAAACCAAACACCAUAUUUUGAGGUUGAAUGGCAUCAACUUGCAUCCAAUGAACACUUAUUUGGACUCUUGAUGUUCGAUUAAUACUUCAUUGGACAAAGUUUGUUGAGGUUCAAUGAAAUUUGAUAGAGACGAAACAUUUCAGUGAAAGGGAUUCUGGACAUUAUGAAACGAUCGAUUACCAAUGCCAAUCGAUAGUUCUUGUUGAGAGAAAACAAUUGAUUUAGGUUUAAUAUCGUUACAUGCCGGAAUUGAAGAAGAAAACAAAAAUGGGAAAUGUUAGGGUUAGUGGUUUUGUUUGUAGAUCUACUGAUCGUGAACCUUGGGAAGUUUUAAAGAGGAACGAGUUAUGGAUUAGAAAUAAAGGAAAUGAGGAGAAUUCCUGGUGAUAAUUUGGUGGCAUUUGGAGAUUUUUCACCAUCGUGGGGAUGAUUUCCAGCGUCAGGGAAGACGGAGGCAAAGAGAGAGGAAGAGGUGGUGGUGCGUGAUAGUUUUUGGGUAGGGGUUCGAUUAAGACAUUUUAAAGAGAAAAUGGGAUUAGUUCCUGGAUUUGGAUCCUGAUCAAUGAAUGACUAAGAUUGACUAAUGUCUAAGCAGUGGUAUUUAGUUAAAUGAGGAGCAUGGGCCAGGUGUGGACUUGGGGAAAAUGGUUUAGAAGGCAAUUAGGCCAUUUAAUGUUUUGGCGAGUUUAAAGUAUAAAGCAACCAACCC
rnacentral:lncRNA from 1 species